CCUACGGGAGGCUGCAGUGGGGAAUAUUGGACAAUGGGGGGAACCCUGAUCCAGCCAUGCCGCGUGUGUGAAGAAGGCCCUCGGGUUGUAAAGCACUUUCAGUGAGGAAGAACGCCUGGUGGUUAAUACCCAUCAGGAAAGACAUCACUCACAGAAGAAGCACCGGCUAACUCCGUGCCAGCAGCCGCGGUAAUACGGAGGGUGCGAGCGUUAAUCGGAAUUACUGGGCGUAAAGCGCGCGUAGGUGGCUUGAUAAGCCGGUUGUGAAAGCCCCGGGCUCAACCUGGGAACGGCAUCCGGAACUGUCAAGCUAGAGUGAAGGAGAGGAAGGUGGAAUUCCCGGUGUAGCGGUGAAAUGCGUAGAGAUCGGGAGGAAUACCAGUGGCGAAGGCGGCCUUCUGGACUGACACUGACACUGAGGUGCGAAAGCGUGGGUAGCAAACAGGAUUAGAUACCCUAGUAGUC
rnacentral:rRNA from 1 species